rnacentral:lncRNA from 1 species
CUUGCCCCCCACCGAGGACAGCAAGCCGAGAUUUAGUUUCCACCUCUCCCAGGAAUGUGACUUUCUAACAGUCAACCUGAAAUGUUUCCCUCAGCACUGGUCAUGUAACCUGCAUGAUAAACACCGGCACUGCCCACCCCUCCAAAGCAGAUGUCCUGGCCUACAGCAAUCCUUUCUUUUCUUUUGCUAAUAACAACCCCAAGGAGGCUCCAGGCUCUAAACUGUCAGCACAGAGCCCUAUGCGGGGCUCGAACUCACGAAGAACCGUAAGAUCAUGACCUGGGCCCAAGUCAGAGGCUUAACCGACUGAGCCCCUCACGCGCCCCGAUUUUUAUUUUUAUUUUAAAGUAAUCUCUACACCCAACGUGGGGCUCGAACUUGCAACCACGAGAUCAGGAGUCGCACGCUUCGCCGACUGAGUCCCGCCUCCUCUUUAAAAAGUAACCAUACCUUUUUAACAGAGAAUUCUAGUUUCACAUCACGUUCCUUUUCCAAAGUUGGGGAUCCUUAACCUGCUAGUGCUUCUUCACAGACGUUUCAAUGAGGGUGCAACAGAAGCAGUAACGUUAGCUUGAGUCUACAAGGCACAGUGCACAUCCAAGACACCAUCAGAAACUGAUUUAUGGUUAAGAUCAACGCACACCAGGUUGUCAAUCCUAGCGAAUGAAUGGGCCGUGGCAGAGUAAAAAGAACACACCUCAUUGUGUUAGCACCCUAUCGCGAAAAGACAGAAGGACAGGCAAUACAUAUUCCUGUUUGUCAUGUUACCGUUUAGCGCACCUGCAGUAAAAAGAAACAUAUACUUUUUUACUUUCUGGGUUAAAAUAAAUCGUCGGCUGGUGAUUUCUCCCAGCUCCCAGCUAUGAAAAGUGAAACACUUGUUCCUGCCUCUGGCUCACUGGAGCAUCUUAUUCGUGCUGGGGACAAAAAGAACAGCAGCACUGGAGACAAGAGCAUGUAUGUACCCUGUCGUCAGGAUGGGUGCACGUGUGACGCUCACGCAAGCUGCCUUAAAACAAAAUGAAGGGGCGCCUGGGUGGCGCAGUCGGUUAAGCGUCCGACUUCAGCCAGGUCACGAUCUCGCGGUCCGGGAGUUCGAGCCCCGCGUCGGGCUCUGGGCUGAUGGCUUGGAGCCUGGAGCCUGUUUCCGAUUCUGUGUCUCCCUCUCUCUCUGCCCCUCCCCCGUUCAUGCUCUGUCUCUCUCUGUCCCAAAAAUAAAUAAACGUUGAAAAAAAAAAUUAAAAAAAAAAAAAACAAAAUGAAAAACAGGAGCGCCUGGGUGGCUCAGUCGGUUAAGCGUCCGACUUCGGCUCGGGUCGUGAUCUCACGGCUCGUCGGUUCGAGCCCCGCGUCGGGCUCUGUGCUGACAGCUCGGAGCCUGGAGCCUGCUGCCGGCCCUCUCUCUCUGCCCCUCCCCAGCUUGGGCUCUCUCUCGCUUUCAAAAGUAAAUAAAACAUUAAACAAAAUGAAAACCAGAGGCACCUGGGUGGCUCAGUCAGUUAGGCGACUAACUCCACGUCAGCUCAGGUCUGGAUCUCAGGAUUGUGCGUUUAAGUCCCGCAGUGGGUUCACAUGCUGGGCACUGGGCGUGAGGCCUACUUAAAAUAUUAUAUAUAUUUAGAUGCCUUUUAGGAAAGGUUUCUUUAUUGUCCUGUGUGUCAGUAACUCGUAGAAAAUAACUGUAUGAAGGGCGCCUGGGAGGCUCAGUCAGUUAAGCAUCUGAUUUGGGCUCAGGGUGUGAUCU